CCUAGUCCAAGCUGAGUUACCUGUGUAGCUCAGCACAGCACGGCCUUCCCAGACUCACCCAUUCAGUGAGAGGCAGAGCUAGAUUGGGCUAGGUUUCCUAGUCCAUUACUUAAGUCAUUGUACAGUGUGGCCUCACAGCUGCUGCGGCCUGGAAUAGCCUAGACUUAGAUCCUAAAAGCCUCAUUUACCUCUUCUCUAACCAAUCUUUGUCCCUGGGCUGGAGUGUCACUUGUUAUACCCUAUGUAUCAAACUUCCC
rnacentral:lncRNA from 1 species